GUAGGUCACAAGCGUUGUCCGGAAUCACUGGGUGUAAAGGGAGCGCAGGCGGGCGAUCAAGUUGGAAGUGAAAUCCAUGGGCUCAACCCAUGAACUGCUNUCAAGACUGAUUGUCUUGAGUAGUGCAGAGGUAGGCGGAAUUCCCGGUGUAGCGGUGGAAUGCGUAGAUAUCGGGAGGAACACCAGUGGCGAAGGCGGCCUACUGGGCACCAACUGACGCUGAGGCUCGAAAGUGUGGGUAGCAAACAGGAUUAGAUACCCUGGUAGUCCACACCGUAAACGAUGAUUACUAGGUGUUGGAGGAUUGACCCCUUCAGUGCCGCAGUUAACACAAUAAGU
rnacentral:rRNA from 1 species